AGAGUUUGAUCAUGGCUCAGAACGAACGCUGGCGGCGUGGAUAAGACAUGCAAGUCGAGCGCUAAUUUCAGGGUAGCAAUAUUCUGGAGUUGGAGCGGCGCAAGGGUGCGUAACACGUGGGUAAUCUGCCAUGAAGUUCGGGAUAACUUGCUGAAAGGCGAGCUAAUACCGGAUGUGACAACUGAGAGGCAUCUCUUGGUUGUUAAAGUUGGGGACCGUAAGGCCUGACGCUUCUUGAUGAACCCGCGGCCUAUCAGCUAGUUGGUGAGGUAAUGGCUCACCAAGGCUAAGACGGGUAGCUGGUCUGAGAGGACGACCAGCCACACUGGAACUGAGACACGGUCCAGACACCUACGGGUGGCAGCAGUCGAGAAUUUUUCACAAUGGGCGCAAGCCUGAUGGAGCGACGCCGCGUGGGGGAUGAAUGGCUUCGGCCCGUAAACCCCUGUCAUUUCGCGAUCAAACCUCAUUAUUAAAAGAUGAUGAGCCUGAUAGUAGCCGGAAGAGGAAAGGGACGGCUUAACUCUGUGCCAGCAGCCGCGGUA
rnacentral:rRNA from 1 species